AGUGAACGCUGGCGGUAGGCCUAACACAUGCAAGUCGAACGGCAGCACAGUAAGAGCUUGCGCUUACGGGUGGCGAGUGGCGGACGGGUGAGGAAUACAUCGUAAUCUACUUUUUCGUGGGGGAUAACGUAGGGAAACUUACGCUAAUACCGCAUACGACCUACGGGUGAAAGCAGGGGAUCUUCGGACCUUGCGCGAUUGAAUGAGCCGAUGUGGGAUUAGCUAGUUGGCGGGGUAAAGGCCCACCAAGGCGACGAUCCGUAGCUGGUCUGAGAGGAUGAUAAGCCACACUGGAACUGAGACACGGUCCAGACUCCUACGGGAGGCAGCAGUGGGGAAUAUUGGACAAUGGGCGCGAGCCUGAUCCAGCCAUACCGCGUGGGUGAAGAAGGCCUUCGGGUUGUAAAGCCCUUUUGUUGGGAAAGAAAAGCAGCAGGUUAAUACCCCGCUGUUCUGACGGUACCCAAAGAAUAAGCACCGGCUAACUUCGUG
rnacentral:rRNA from 1 species